AACGAACGCUGGCGGCAGGCCUAACACAUGCAAGUCGAGCGCGCCUUCGGGUGAGCGGCGGACGGGUGAGUAACGCGUGGGAAUAUGCCCUUCUCUACGGAAUAGUCCUGGGAAACUGGGGGUAAUACCGUAUACGCCCUUUGGGGGAAAGAUUUAUCGGGGAAGGAUUAGCCCGCGUUGGAUUAGGUAGUUGGUGGGGUAAUGGCCUACCAAGCCGACGAUCCAUAGCUGGUUUGAGAGGAUGAUCAGCCACACUGGGACGGAGACACGGCCCAGACUCCUACGGGAGGCAGCAGUGGGGAAUCUUAGACAAUGGGGGCAACCCUGAUCUAGCCAUGCCGCGUGAGUGAUGAAGGCCUUAGGGUUGUAAAGCUCUUUCAGCUGGGAAGAUAAUGACGGUACCAGCAGAAGAAGCCCCGGCUAACUCCGUG
rnacentral:rRNA from 1 species